GGUGUGGGGCUCGGCAGGGGGCACUCACCUUUUCUUUUGAUUAUUUUCUAGAUUUUUAACAUUUCCAGCACGUUUACCCGGACGGAGGCAGAUUAUUUGGAGAUGUUCGUUCAUGUUGCAAAGGAGGUCGGCGAGACCUGCAAUCUGCCCCCAAUCCAGCGCCUGGACUUGUUGGUGCGAGAUUGGCAGCUCUCCGGAGCCUAUGGCGCAG